rnacentral:rRNA from 1 species
CUGGCGGCGUGCUUAACACAUGCAAGUCGAACGGAAAGGCCCUGCUUGCAGGGUACUCGAGUGGCGAACGGGUGAGUAACACGUGGGUGAUCUGCCCUGCACUUCGGGAUAAGCCUGGGAAACUGGGUCUAAUACCGGAUAGGACCAUCGUUUAGUGUCGGUGGUGGAAAGUUUUUCGGUGCAGGAUGAGCUCGCGGCCUAUCAGCUUGUUGGUGGGGUAAUGGCCUACCAAGGCGUCGACGGGUAGCCGGCCUGAGAGGGUGGACGGCCACAUUGGGACUGAGACACGGCCCAGACUCCUACGGGAGGCAGCAGUGGGGAAUAUUGCACAAUGGGCGCAAGCCUGAUGCAGCGACGCCGCGUGGGGGAUGAAGGCCUUCGGGUUGUAAACUCCUUUCAACCAUGACGAAGCAUUAUGUGACGGUAGUGGUAGAAGAAGCACCGGCUAACUACGUGCCAGCAGCCGCGGUAAUACGUAGGGUGCGAGCGUUGUCCGGAAUUACUGGGCGUAAAGAGCUCGUAGGUGGUUUGUCGCGUCGUCUGUGGAAUUCCGGGGCUUAACUCCGGGCGUGCAGGCGAUACGGGCAUAACUUGAGUGCUGUAGGGGAGACUGGAAUUCCUGGUGUAGCGGUGAAAUGCGCAGAUAUCAGGAGGAACACCGAUGGCGAAGGCAGGUCUCUGGGCAGUAACUGACGCUGAGGAGCGAAAGCAUGGGUAGCGAACAGGAUUAGAUACCCUGGUAGUCCAUGCCGUAAACGGUGGGCGCUAGGUGUGGGGGUCUUCCACGACUUCUGUGCCGUAGCUAACGCAUUAAGCGCCCCGCCUGGGGAGUACGGCCACAAGGCUAAAACUCAAAUGAAUUGACGG